CUACUUUCCGAUUGGUAUUCUACGGUCGCGUCAGAGUCUACGGUGAGUCUACACUUAAUGCACUACUGUAGAAACCACUCCUUGCGAAUUCCCCAAAUGUGGGAAUCUCGACUGCAUAAUUUAUGGUAGUGGGGGACUGCGUUCGCGCUCUCCCCUG